UCGGGUAUGGUGUAGCGGUAACAUCGUUGACUCUCACUUCUCAGGAGUGACUUGUUUCUCAACAGCCCCGGGUUCGACUCCCGGUAUCCGAG
rnacentral:tRNA from 1 species